UUAUGCAGCAUUGUUCCUUUGUAAAUUUCUAUUUAAUUAGCAUUUGAAACAUUAGUGGUGAAAUUUGGGUUUUCAAUAAGGUCUUCUAUUUCUUUGAAACUCUUUUAUGACUCUUUAAUUUAAGGUCAAUCACUAGAGUCUGGCUUGGUUUCUCACCAAUGUUAUUGGUACUGCAGAGUUAUACACAGUAUAUCCCUUUGCCAAUCAGUGACCUUGAUUCUUGGUUGAAGACACCCUCCAUAUAUGUUUUUGAUUGCUCUGCAGCUGGGGGAAUAUUGUGAAUGCUUUUAUUGAGUUUCAUGAUUGGGUUGCUUCUAGCUCCUCUGGAUCCACAAGGGAUUGCAUUCUACUUGGAGCUUGUGAAGCACAUGAGACUCUUCCACAAAGUGCUGAAUUUCCUGCAGAUGUGUUUAUGUCUUGUCUCACAACACCUAUUAAGAUGGCUUUGAGAUGGAUCUUGCAGGCAAAGGACACCAAGUGAAUUAGAUAGAGAGGUUAAGAACUUGAGGGUGGCAUUU